rnacentral:rRNA from 1 species
ACUCCUACGGGAGGCAGCAGUGAGGAAUAUUGGUCAAUGGAGGGAACUCUGAACCAGCCAUCCCGCGUGUAGGAAGACGGCCUUAUGGGUUGUAAACUACUUUUAUACAGGAAGAAACGUACCCUCGUGAGGGUGCCUGACGGUACUGUAGGAAUAAGCACCGGCUAACUCCGUGCCAGCAGCCGCGGUAAUACGGAGGGGUGCGAGCGUUAUCCGGAUUUAUUGGGGUUUAAAGGGGUCCGUAGGCGGAUUAAUAAGUCAGUGGUGAAAUCCCAUCGCUUAACGAUGGAACUGCCAUUGAUACUGUUAGUCUUGAAUGAGGGUGCAGUGGUUGGAAUGUGUAGUGUAGCGGUGAAAUGCAUAGAUAUUACACAGAACACCGAUUGCGAAGGCAGAUCACUAACCCUAAAUUGACGCUGAGGGACGAAAGCGUGGGGAGCGAACAGGAUUAGAUACCCUGGUAGCACAGAG